rnacentral:rRNA from 1 species
UUUUAUGGAGAGUUUGAUCCUGGCUCAGGAUGAACGCUGGCGGCGUGCCUAAUACAUGCAAGUCGAGCGAACGGACGAGAAGCUUGCUUCUCUGAUGUUAGCGGCGGACGGGUGAGUAACACGUGGAUAACCUACCUAUAAGACUGGGAUAACUUCGGGAAACCGUAGCUAAUACCGGAUAA